AGUCUUACAAAUUUUAUUGGCAAAUAAGGAUCAGAAACUGCAAAUUCCCUUUACAAGAAAAUAAAAGAAUGUUUAUAGAUCUUAUUACAAACGUGCAAAUAUUUAUAUCCAUAAAUGAAAAAAACCUCCUUAUAAACACAUCAUUACAGGUUACACUCAGCCUACAAGGUUCUAUCGUAUGAUAACAUAAACAUGACAUACAUGUUAACCUUAUAAGAAAUUUUCAUAAGUGUUCCAGAAAAUUAUCAUAGCUGACGUUUGCCAGCUUAAAAACUUCAUCUACAAUCUCGGUUGAUUGCUAACCAUCCAACAGACAAGAUAAGAUUUUCCAAAUAAACAAGAAAUAUUUUUACAGGUUACAAAUCUCCAAUAAAUAGCUAACAUGCAGACUAUCUCCCUUUUAUUAAGGGACAGAAGGAGGGAUACAAAGGAAAUCCCUCUCAUAGGCGCCAAAAUGCUCCCAUUAUUGUUCUCUUCUUAUCACAACAAAUCCUAUCAAAGGAGGUCCUACACCGUUUUAGUUCGAGAAUUUUUGGCGAUCCUAUAGUGUGUCAUGGAGGUGGUGAGGAAUGCUUGGGGUACUCCUGUCAGUGGGUUUCUGAUAUCCAAAAUAACCAAGAAACUCAGAAAUACUAAGGCAGCUUUGAGUCAUUGGAACAGGAACUGCAUUGGGAACCUUUUUCAGAGAGCUAAUACUCCAGAAAAGGAGAUUGGCCUGAUGCAGGAGAAGGAAUCAGAAGUAGGGAGGCUAGCAUUAAAGAAGACUUCAAAUCUUGAGAUCAAAAAAUGCGGAGUAUUACAAACUUCUAAAAUAGCAGAAACCUUUUGGUAUCAAAAAUCAAGUUUUCAGUGGCUUAGUGGAGGUUAUAAGAACUCUAGCUUCUUCCACGAAGCUACAAUAAACAGAAGAAUAUUCAAUCGGUAAGCAAGAUGGUGGACCUUGGCAGCACCUGUCACCAAUUCAGAGGUUUUGGAAACACUGUGGACCUUGGCAACUGACAAAUCUCCUGACCUGGAUGGCUUCCUUCCAAGUUUUCUUUAAGGUGUAUUGGAAUGUAAUUGGAGAUGACAUUACCAAGUCAGUGAAACAAUUCUUUGAUAGCAAGCAUAUGCUAGGUGCCUGGAAAGCAACAUUUGUUGUUUUGAUUCUUAAAAUCAGCAAUCCUACUCCCCUUUGUCCCUAUAGACCAAUCAAUCUGUGCAAUAUAAUAUACAAGCUAGUAGCUAAAAGUAUAACACUGAGAAUUCGAAGAGAUUCCUAAGCUGAUAUCAAAGGAGCAAGCUACUUACAUCUCAGGUCGAAGCAUCUCAGAUGAUGUCAUCUUGGCUCAGGAGGCAGUUCAUUCUAUGUAAAAGGCAAGUGCUUCCAAUUCUUUGAUGGCAAUUAAACUAGGGAUUUUUAUUUGCAUCCCUUUGUCACUUUGGUUCCCCGGACAAGAUGAUCUAGUGGACAGAAGGCUUCGUUGUGAAUCCAACUUUGACAGUUCUAGUCAAUGAUUCCCCUCCUAUCUUCUUUAAGUCUAACAUGGGCCUACAUCAAGGCUGCUCUGUCUCCCUAUUUAUUCACCCUGUGUGCCGAGAUGUUAACCAUAGCAAUCUUUAUGGCUGGAUAAAGUGGAAUUGUUCAUGGAUAGAAACAAAAUAUGAGCAACAAUCAAGUAAGUCACUUUUUGCAGAUGAUUGCUUGCUGCUAUACUUUUCUUGAAGGAAAUGGAGGAAGCAAAGUGCUUCCCCAGCUAUUUUUAAAAGGAACAGAACUUACAAAGCAAGAAGAACAAGAUUGCAGAGUAGCAGAACAACCAGCAGAGGUGAACACUUGAAAGCAACAGGUUACAACCAAGAACAAUAAGAGUUGCCUAGGAAAUAUCUCAUCAGAAGGGAGCAAAGAAGGCCCCGCAGAGUUUGGUAGCUGUCUUUGGUUUUCUCAGCACGCAAGCUUUCCCACUGAGUAAAAGAGAGCAGGGCUUUUUGCAGGGUCACAUUGAUGAAAGAUUGUUUCUGAAGAAAGACUCUCGAAUUCCUUUCCGGCCAGAGGUGCCAGCCAACUGGUCCCAACCUUUUCUUAAGCUGCGUUUGACUCGUCUUUUCCUCCAUGCUGCCCAUAAAUCCUUGAUAUCCUUUGGCCAACCUCUAAUAUUAAGCUGAGUUUUGAGGGCAACCAUAAGCUCUUAGCGAAAGAACAUUUGAUCAGCAAGUGGGAUAUAGUCUCCGGCAUGGCUCCAGAGAGCGGACAUCACAAGCUUCUUCUCCAACCUUUCUUCUACGACGCAUCACCCGUAUGAAGCCUACUUUUAAGGGCCAACCACAAGAAUACUUUCACCUUUUCAGGUGCAGCUAUUCUCCAAAUAACUCCAUGAAAUGGCCAAAGUUAGCCUCCACAGUUCAGAAACUUAUAGAGAAGGAAUUAACGAAAUAAGAACCAUUAGAGGUGAGCUUCCAAACCGGCUCGUCCGCUGAUCUAGCAGGUGAGAAAGGAUGCAAAAGCUGGAUGAGAGAUUCAUAUUGAUUAAAUUCCUGCAGUGUUAGCGGACCACCUACACUUAUAGACCAUCCUUGAUUCCUCCAACUCCAAUGGGAAGCAACAGAGGCAAUACACUUCACAGUUCUUCCAUAGACCUCAACAAACAUAGCUGCCAGUGGGGAGCGGCCAACCCAAGAAUCCUCCCAGAAUCUAAUUCUCUCCCCAUUUCCAAGAUUGAAGGAAGUACGAGUCCAGAAUGCCUUCAGGUUUUUGCCGGUGUCCCUCCAAAUAGGCCACUUUCCUUUUUGCCCCUGCACACGCCAUCCCAAUUCACAAGGCAGUUGAAGCUGGAUACAGUAUCGUUCCCUUUCCACAAGAAAGCCCUCCUUGGUCAAUUCUGUUCGCCAGCCACCAUGACGAAUAGGGUUGAUAAGAACGAAGGAUGGUUCAAGUUUGGAGUUUGCGCUAACAAGCUUAGUGAUUUUGUAGAAGAAUUUUAGUAUUUUAAUUGACUAUAAAAUUGUAGUUAACAAUUUUUUGAAUAUUGAGGAUUAUGGAUUUGGUAUUUAUGUUUGGAUUUAGAUGCUCUGAACCAAUAUUAGUUUUAUUUAAUGAAUGAUGAAAUUAGACUUUUAAUUAUUAUAUUUUGUCAAUGAUAGAUUUGGAAGCUGAGAUGUAAUAGUUGGUUGCAUUUUAUCGUGAGUUGUACUCUUUGGUAGAAUGGCCGUGUUAUGUCCUAAAAUUCAAGGCACGAUAUUUUAUGGGCUAUGUCAAUUUUCAGAUCCAGGGUGUGACAUCACUUAAGUGACGCCGGAAAGCUGAACAGGUUUGUGGUCCCUAAGAAGCAUGCCCUGGACUACUUCCCUGAUGUAGAGAAUACUGAUAAAAUGGCGUCACUUCAAGUUUUAGAUAAUCAGAAGAAGAGGUGGAAAGUUUCGGUACUCUUAUUGGACAAGUAGCCAAUGCUUGGUGCUGCAGUCAAUUUGUGAAGGAGAAAGGGCUUGAUGAAAAGGAUGUUGUUGUAUUUUAUCGGUUCGAGGAAGAACAAGAUGGACACAAAAAUCAAUCUUAUAUGAUUGACAUUAUACCUUGGGACAAUGGCAGUGACAAAGCAGUUUUAAGAGAGCAUGCUGAUGAGAUGAUCGAGAACCAAAGAUCUGACGUGAGGGGUGGAAGAAGCGGCGAGAAGAGUUCGGCUGGAGAGCCGGAGGUAAGGAAGGUGGAAAACAAAGAUAGAGAUAAGAUGAGUUUGAUGAGAGAUGAACUUGGAGGAGAAUUCUUUACAAGGAAAAGAGCAAGAGAGAGAUUCAAGCAGGGAGUUUGGUUGUUCGGGGUUCAGACUUCUCCAUGAUGAUAGAGACAAGAUGGUGGAUGGUGAUUCUCUGUUACAUCAAAAUUGACAAAGGUUGGGACAGAUGUUUAUGAUUGAAAAAUGUGCAGCGAACUUAGAAACAUGUUAACUAGGAUGAUUUUAUCCGACAGAGCUUUCUCCUAUUGUCUGCUGCUCUUGUAAUACAAAUAUAUCUAUCAUUAACUUUCUCGCUAAUUAGUGGAUUUUGAUUAUA